rnacentral:snRNA from 1 species
UAGUAGCUGGUUCCCUCCG